rnacentral:rRNA from 1 species
AUUGAACGCUGGCGGCAGGCCUAACACAUGCAAGUCGAACGAGUGGCGGACGGGUGAGUCAUGUCUGGGAAACUGCCCGAUGGAGGGGGAUAACUACUGGAAACGGUAGCUAAUACCGCAUACCAACGGAUGUGCCCAGAGGGGAUUAGCUAGGCGGUGGGGUAACGGUUCACCUAGGCGACGAUCCCUAGCUGGUCGGAGAGGAUGACCAGCCACACUGGAACUGAGACACGGGCCAGACUCCUACGGGAGGCAGCAGUGGGGAAUAUUGCACAAUGGGCGCAAGCCUGAUGCAGCCAUGCAGCGUGUAGGAAGAAGGCCGUCGGGUUGUAAAGUACUUUCAGCGAGGAGGCGUUACUCGCAGAAGAAGCACCGGCGAACUACGUGCCAGCCGCCGCGGUAAUAC